UAGGGAAUCUUCGGCAAUGGGAGGAACCCUGACCGAGCAACGCCGCGUGAGUGAAGAAGGUUUUCGGAUCGUAAAGCUCUGUUGUUAAGGAAGAACGAGUGUGAGAAUGGAAAGUUCAUGCUGUGACGGUACUUAACCAGAAAGGGACGGCUAACUACGUGCCAGCAGCCGCGGUAAUACGUAGGUCCCGAGCGUUGUCCGGAUUUAUUGGGCGUAAAGCGAGCGCAGGCGGUUAGAAAAGUCUGAAGUGAAAGGCAGUGGCUCAACCAUUGUAGGCUUUGGAAACUGUUUAACUUGAGUGCAGAAGGGGAGAGUGGAAUUCCAUGUGUAGCGGUGAAAUGCGUAGAUAUAUGGAGGAACACCGGUGGCGAAAGCGGCUCUCUGGUCUGUAACUGACGCUGAGGCUCGAAAGCGUGGGGAGCGAACAGG
rnacentral:rRNA from 1 species